ensembl:lncRNA
CUUCACCCUCCCAACCAAUUCAGUCAAUGCUGACCAAUAUUCAGGAAAGGAUGGUGGAAAUACAGAAGGAAAAUGUACCAGAUGAUGGAAUUUCUUCUCAACAGUCAGUUUCACAAAUCAUUUCUCCUGUUGUACUGACACAGCAAGGUCAAGUUGUUGUCAGACUGCCAAAUCAUGAAAAUAUGGCAGUUAAAACAACCAUUGAAGAUGGGAGAGGGCACCCUGUUAUUGUUAAUGUUUCUCCUUUUACUUAUCCAGCCACAAUAUCAAGUUUCAUCAUUGAUUCAACAGUUCCACCUUGUGUGACAUCUGCAAAACCCCAUGUUCCUCAAGAAAGAACAGAUAAACCAGUGAUUUCAUUUCCACCACCUCCUCCAGCUUCACCACCAGAAUUACUAUAUAGCGCAGUACCCAAGGCUGAUUUUAACCAGCAAAAGUCUAUUCCUACUCCCUCAUCAGUUACAAUAACUCUACAUGAACCCCCACCAAAUGUGGCCAGCAUAAAUAUAAAACCAGUUGUGACCCCAACACACAAGUCACCACCCCCUGUUCCUCCCAAACCUGUAUGUAUUCCGCCAGGACUGGUAUUUAGUCACAGAUCAAGAGAGAGCGUAAAGCCACCAGUUAGCCCUGAGCCAGUAGUUGUUCAAGCAGUUCGUGCUGCAACGCUGCCAAGAACAAGGGAACCUCCAAAUGCUUUGCCACUAAGUUUGACUGCUCCUGUAGAGACCAAGCACAGUGCUUCAUCACCAAAAUCACCUUUGUCACCCAGAUUUGCUAGAACUCUUGAAACAUAUGUAGUGAUAACAUUACCCUCAGAACCAGGAUCACCUGUUGAGGGCAUUACAACUCAAGCAUCGAUGAGAAGAUCAUCACUGCCAACUCCCAGACAGCAUGUUCCAUCUGAUGCCCCAAGAGUGUUUGCUCAAUCUGCAGUGGAUGCACCUGUGUCAUUAAUUUCAGAACAAAUUGUAUCAGACCCACCAAAGCCUACAUCGGCUUUAAAUACAGUAAUGCCCCUUGAGGUUAUGGCACCUGACUUUGCUUCAGUCACAACAGAUACUCAUCAUAUUACACUAGCUGCAGAUUCAAGACAAAGUAUUAUGGAAUCUUGUGUAACAGUCCCAGAGCUGCCAGUUGCUUCUGUACAAACAUUUGUUUCAGCACCUCUUGUAGAGGCAUCAUCAGGACUAUCACAGACUAUGACUGUUGUUCCUCAUAUCACGAUGGAGAAUACAACGCAUUCCCCAUCUGCAUUUAUAACACCACAUGUUGUAAUGGCACCUUCUGCUCUGAUUUCAACAGCACCUGUUGCAGCACCACCACCACCUCCCAUUGCUAUGGAACCAACAGCAUAUGUGGCAAUGACAUACCCCACACCUUCCUUGAUUUCUCCUCUUGCCAUGGCUCCAGUCUCAGUGGUGCAUACAUCAAAAUCAUCAGAGGAGGUACCAGUAGCCUUAGCCCCAAUGUCAGGGGUUUCUACUAAGUCAGUUCCUCGCUAUACAGUGAGUGAUGUGCAACAAGAACUUGAGAUGCAAAAAAUGCAAAAAACAGAUUCUGCUCCAAUAACAAUUACCCAGAUUCCAGUCCCAGCUCAAAAUGAAGACAUUUCAGGAUUGGAUAUGGAAGAAAUACUAAUAGUCUCAGCUUCUGAAGAGGCCUUACCUGAACUGGGUCCAUCACCAGUACCAAUAACACAGCUUCAAGAGCAGCAAACAGUUUAUGAGCAAAAACAAGAAAUUUCAGUAGUGACCUCUGCAACAACUGUGCCACCAGUACCAGUCACAUUUACCCAAUUUACAAAAUCUAUUGAGAGUCAAGAAAUUUGUGGACAAGAUAAAGUUAUAUCAAGCAUGAGCCAAGUCUACUCUGCAGUCUCAACAACUGAGCAGCGUCCUGAUGCAUUGCCUAAUCUUGUA